UACAGAGGGUGCAAGCGUUGUUCGGAAUUAUUGGGCGUAAAGGGUGCGUAGGCGGGUCUUUAAGUCAGGGGGGAAAUCCUGGAGCUCAACUCCAGAACUGCCUUUGAUACUGAAGAUCUUGAGUUCGGGAGAGGUGAGUGGAACUGCGAGUGUAGAGGUGAAAUCCGUAGAUAUUCGCAAGAACACCAGUGGCGAAGGCGGCUCACUGGCCCGAUACUGACGCUGAGGCACGAAAGCGUGGGGAGCAAACAGG
rnacentral:rRNA from 1 species